rnacentral:lncRNA from 1 species
GUGUAGCAGGUUUCUAUCACUGGGGAAAUUCAUGAAGAGAGAUUCCAGAAACAAAGGAGAACCAUGCUGAAAAAUUGAAGGACAGCUACCGCGUCCCAUGUGCACACCUCGUUCCUGAGUUUGGGAGCUCCAUUCCUGAGUUUUUUGGGAGGAAAAGGAGAUGAAAGCACCUUUUGGAAAGUUUAAAAAUGCCCCAUGUGCUACUACCAGGUCUGUCUGUAGUUGGAAGAGCACAUAGGUAGUGGUAUUUGGGCAAAUGUGGGACAAUAACUAACACUUUCAUGGGGGAAAGAAAGAUGGUGGACCAAAGGAAAUGACUGGCUGAGGAACAACGUGUCCGAAGCACUGGGCUUCAUUGCAAAGUGAAGCCCAUAAAAGACACAACUAGAAGACCUGGCCCCGGAGUCAGCAUCUUUCUGCCACUUCCUUGGCCUCUCUAUGUCUUUUUUAGCCGCCUGCUCUGGCUAGAGAGUUCAUGUGUCUGUGGCGCUUAGUUAGUGGCUCUCUAGUUGUGGUAUAUACAGUUGUCCUUCCCAAGACAGUGCAGUUCAUUGGAAGGCAUUGUUUGCAUCACAGCGUUUGCUCAAGACUGGGUCCAGGAUCUCUUGUGUGUAUCUGGUAAUGAAAUGCCCAUGCUGUGUGCUCAGAAACCUUUGUAAAGCAGGCGAGGCUGUGGGGUGUACUGUACCUUCUCCCGGCUCUUCUGGAGGGCCAUUUAUUGAUGGUUCGGUUCAGAUAGCUAGAAGACCUUUGAGCUGUGGGAAGUGUGAGCCCAUGGGGUGGAAAGGUUAAUGUCCUCGUUGUUCACAUUUGCACCUUAAUUCAGCAAAUAUUUACCAAAUGUUUCCUGGUUACUGGCUCUUCUGUAAGCACUCUGUCAAACGUACAAGAUGUAGCUAGGAGAGGCGCUAAGAUGAGUACAAAGGACUCAUACAGGAGGCUGUGUGCUAGGUGCUGUGGGUAUCUUCACAGCUCUGGGGAGGCCAGCCAGUGAUGAGGAGGAUCAGAAGGCUGUGCAGUUCACCCUCAGUGAUUUUUGCCCUGUUUUAGGAGACUUGCACUGCAGUCUAAGUGACAGCUUAGUGCAAAUAGCCUUACCUCAGCAGACCUUAGU